rnacentral:rRNA from 1 species
AGAGUUUGAUCAUGGCUCAGAUUGAACGCUGGCGGCAGGCCUAACACAUGCAAGUCGAACGGUAACAGAAAGCAGCUUGCUGCUUUGCUGACGAGUGGCGGACGGGUGAGUAAUGUCUGGGAAACUGCCUGAUGGAGGGGGAUAACUACUGGAAACGGUAGCUAAUACCGCAUAACGUCGCAAGACCAAAGAGGGGGACCUUCGGGCCUCUUGCCAUCGGAUGUGCCCAGAUGGGAUUAGCUUGUUGGUGGGGUAACGGCUCACCAAGGCGACGAUCCCUAGCUGGUCUGAGAGGAUGACCAGCCACACUGGAACUGAGACACGGUCCAGACUCCUACGGGAGGCAGCAGUGGGGAAUAUUGCACAAUGGGCGCAAGCCUGAUGCAGCCAUGCCGCGUGUAUGAAGAAGGCCUUCGGGUUGUAAAGUACUUUCAGCGGGGAGGAAGGGAGUAAAGUUAAUACCUUUGCUCAUUGACGUUACCUGCAGAAGAAGCACCGGCUAACUCCGUGCCAGCAGCCGCGGUAAUACGGAGGGUGCAAGCGUUAAUCGGAAUUACUGGGCGUAAAGCGCACGCAGGCGGUUUGUUAAGUCAGAUGUGAAAUCCCCGGGCUCAACCUGGGAACUGCAUCUGAUACUGGCAAGCUUGAGUCUCGUAGAGGGGGGUAGAAUUCCAGGUGUAGCGGUGAAAUGCGUAGAGAUCUGGAGGAAUACCGGUGGCGAAGGCGGCCCCCUGGACGAAGACUGACGCUCAGGUGCGAAAGCGUGGGGAGCAAACAGGAUUAGAUACCCUGGUAGUCCACGCCGUAAACGAUGUCGACUUGGAGGUUGUGCCCUUGAGGCGUGGCUUCCGGAGCUAACGCGUUAAGUCGACCGCCUGGGGAGUACGGCCGCAAGGUUAAAACUCAAAUGAAUUGACGGGGGCCCGCACAAGCGGUGGAGCAUGUGGUUUAAUUCGAUGCAACGCGAAGAACCUUACCUGGUCUUGACAUCCACAGAACUUUCCAGAGAUGGAUUGGUGCCUUCGGGAACUGUGAGACAGGUGCUGCAUGGCUGUCGUCAGCUCGUGUUGUGAAAUGUUGGGUUAAGUCCCGCAACGAGCGCAACCCUUAUCCUUUGUUGCCAGCGGUCCGGCCGGGAACUCAAAGGAGACUGCCAGUGAUAAACUGGAGGAAGGUGGGGAUGACGUCAAGUCAUCAUGGCCCUUACGACCAGGGCUACACACGUGCUACAAUGGCGCAUACAAAGAGAAGCGACCUCGCGAGAGCAAGCGGACCUCAUAAAGUGCGUCGUAGUCCGGAUUGGAGUCUGCAACUCGACUCCAUGAAGUCGGAAUCGCUAGUAAUCGUGGAUCAGAAUGCCACGGUGAAUACGUUCCCGGGCCUUGUACACACCGCCCGUCACACCAUGGGAGUGGGUUGCAAAAGAAGUAGGUAGCUUAACCUUCGGGAGGGCGCUUACCACUUUGUGAUUCAUGACUGGGGUGAAGUCGUAACAAGGUAACCGUAGGGGAACCUGCGGUUGGAUCACCU